rnacentral:rRNA from 1 species
UAUACCGUGAAACUGCGAAUGGCUCAUUAAAUCAGUUAUCGUUUAUUUGAUAGUACCUUACUACUUGGAUAACCGUGGUAAUUCUAGAGCUAAUACAUGCUAAAAACCCCAACUUCGGGAGGGGUGUAUUUAUUAGAUAAAAAACCAACGCCCUUCGGGGCUUCUUGGUGAUUCAUGAUAACUUUACGGAUCGCAUGGCCUUGCGCCGGCGACGGUUCAUUCAAAUUUCUGCCCUAUCAACUUUCGAUGGUAAGGUAUUGGCUUACCAUGGUUUCAACGGGUAACGGGGAAUUAGGGUUCGAUUCCGGAGAGGGAGCCUGAGAAACGGCUACCACAUCCAAGGAAGGCAGCAGGCGCGCAAAUUACCCAAUCCCGACACGGGGAGGUAGUGACAAUAAAUACUGAUACAGGGCUCUUUUGGGUCUUGUAAUUGGAAUGAGUACAAUUUAAACCUCUUAACGAGGAACAAUUGGAGGGCAAGUCUGGUGCCAGCAGCCGCGGUAAUUCCAGCUCCAAUAGCGUAUAUUAAAGUUGUUGCAGUUAAAAAGCUCGUAGUUGAAACUUGGGUCUGGCUGGCAGGUCCGCCUCACCGCGUGUACUUGUCCGGCCGGGCCUUCCUUCUGGAGAACCUCAUGCCCUUCACUGGGCGUGUUGGGGACCAGGACUUUUACUUUGAAAAAAUUAGAGUGUUCAAAGCAGGCCUUUGCUCGAAUACGUUAGCAUGGAAUAAUAGAAUAGGACGUGCGGUCCUAUUUUGUUGGUUUCUAGGACCGCCGUAAUGAUUAAUAGGGACAGUCGGGGGCAUCAGUAUUCAAUUGUCAGAGGUGAAAUUCUUGGAUUUAUUGAAGACUAACUACUGCGAAAGCAUUUGCCAAGGAUGUUUUCAUUAAUCAGUGAACGAAAGUUAGGGGAUCGAAGACGAUCAGAUACCGUCGUAGUCUUAACCGUAAACUAUGCCGACUAGGGAUCGGGCGAUGUUCUUUUUCUGACUCGCUCGGCACCUUACGAGAAAUCAAAGUU